GUUAACGUCUUACUUGGGCAGGAUUAGAGUGACAAUUGAUAUGUCUAAUACUGUCAGGUAAUGAUGUCCUC
rfam:Acyrthosiphon pisum strain LSR1 Contig40959, whole genome shotgun sequence.